AAUGUUUUUCGAAUAAAAGAUCCGUCGCUCCAGGAUGAGUCUGCGGCCGAUUAGGUAGUUGUUGGGGUAACUGCCCAACAAGCCUGUCAUCGGUACGGGUUGUGGGAGCAAGAGCCCGGAGAUGGAUUCUGAGACACGAAUCCAGGCCCUACGGGGCGCAGCAGGCGCGAAAACUUUACCAUGCGGGCAACCGUGAUAAGGAAACCCCGAGUGCCAGCACAGGCUGGCUGUCCGCCAGUGUAAAUAACUGGUGAAGAAAGGGCCGGGCAAGACCGGUGCCAGCCGCCGCGGUAAUACCGGCGGCUCGAGUGGUGGCCACUAUUACUGGGCUUAAAGGGUCCGUAGCUUGAUAUGCAAGUCUUUUGAGAAAUCCGCCGGCUUAACUGGUGGGCGUUCAGGGGAAACUGCAUUUCUAGGGACCGGGAGAGGUGAGAGGUACUGCCGGGGUAGGAGUGAAAUCCUGUAAUCCCGGUGGGACCACCUAUAGCGAAGGCAUCUCACCAGAACGGGUCCGACAGUGAGGGACGAAAGCUGGGGGAGCAAACCGGAUUAGAUACCCGGGUAGUCCCAGCUGUAAACGAUGCGCGUUAGGUGUGUCAGUGACC
rnacentral:rRNA from 1 species